GGACGGGUGGCGAAACUGGCAGACGCGCCAGCCUUAGGAGCUGGUUCCGCAAGGAAUAGGGGUUCAAAUCCCCUCCCGUCCACCA
rnacentral:tRNA from 2 species